rnacentral:tRNA from 1 species
GGAUAUAGCUCAGAUGGUAGAGUGCUUGCCUUGCAUGCACAAAGUCCUGGGUUCAAUCCCCAGCACCA